rnacentral:lncRNA from 10 species
AAAUAAACGUAGUCAAGAAUGUAAAUGAACCCCAUUUUUAUUCCAAAAAUAGCAGGCUGGCCAGGCACAGUGGCUCAUGCCGAUAAUCCCUGUAAUCACUUUGGGAGGCCAAGAUCGGGGGAUUGCUUGACCCUAGGAGUUCAAGACCAGCCUGGGCAACAUGCCUACAAGUGUAAGGAAUCCAGAACUUGAACGAAACGGACUCUACCCGGCCUACACUGGACUGCCAGGAUCACGGCAUUCUUGCAUUUUCCCCGGACAGUAUAACCCGUCUUUCAUCAGUGAUGAAAGCAGAAGAAGAGACUACUUUUAAGUCCAGGAGAGAGAGGGACUCAUUGCUCUGAGCCAGUCACCUGGGACCUCUGCUCAGAGGACCGCACCAGGAGGCUGCGCCCAGGAUUUGUCGGGAGCCACGCUGAGUGGCAAGCAGGAAGAGGGACAGGCAUGCGGGGCGUGACCACAGUGGAGGAGACAGGUGGAUGUGGAACCACAGGCUGCUCAUUCAGCACCUUUGUUGUUACUGUGAACGUGAAUGUGGGCCAGU